rnacentral:rRNA from 1 species
UCAAUGGAGAGUUUGAUCCUGGCUCAGGACGAACGCUGGCGGCGUGCCUAAUACAUGCAAGUCGAGCGGACCGAAUGGAAGCUUGCUUCUGUUUGGUUAGCGGCGGACGGGUGAGUAACACGUGGGCAACCUGCCCGUAAGACCGGGAUAACUUCGGGAAACCGGAGCUAAUACCGGAUAACACCGAAGACCGCAUGGUCUUUGGUUGAAAGGCGGCAUUAGCUGUCACUUACGGAUGGGCCCGCGGCGCAUUAGCUAGUUGGUGAGGUAACGGCUCACCAAGGCGACGAUGCGUAGCCGACCUGAGAGGGUGAUC